ACCCUUGGUCGGUCAUUCAAUAGAUGGAGAGAAUUGCAUGAUUUGAAAGGAAUAAAAGCCGAUCCUGAAUUGGCCCUCUUCCUCCUAGACUGAUGAGAUCACAUGGCCUGGAGAGGAGGUUUUAAGCAUGGUGGAGGUAAACAUGGACCGAAUAAAGCCUCAGAAAUCCUGCAGCUGACUGCAGGUGACCGUCACCAUGGAGCUGUUAGAACACAGACUGUGACCUGUGGACUCUAACAUUAACAUGGAAACAUCAAGUGAGACAAUAGCAUCCUAUCUGCUUUACUAGACAGUAUUUCCACCAACAGUUGACUUCCCUCUUGUUUCAUACUCAAAUUUUGAUUCAGAAAUUGUCACACUGUUGGACUACAGUGUGAUCUGCCGGCCGCUGAGCUUCUCCACUGGAGCGGUCGGGGGUUAAAGGCCUUGCUCAAGGGCACCUCAGCAGCAACAAUCAAGGUGCUGUUCUUUCACUUUCCCCGGGCAGAUACUUCCUGCCGGCCGAGGGAUCAAACUGCCUAACCAGAGACAAGGUCUGCACAUUAGCUUUGGCUAGAAGUCCUAUACAUUGCAUCGGUUGCACUUUAUUCAAAUGUAACAAUGCCUCCGUAUUGUCCCUGUCAAAUAAAUAAUAAAUAAAAAAAAUAUAUAUAUUGCAGGACUUUUUUGAAAAAGACCAAACUAAAUAAUCCAGAGUGUUAUUGUGGGUGUAUUGAUAAAUCAAACACAAAAAUGAACAUAUAUAUGUAAUGUGCAUGACCCCGAUAACACUUUCUUGUGAGUUUUUCCUUUCAUAUCAGAGGGCCUGUGCUUGUUGUAGCUCGAUAACCUUCCUUGUUCCUGAUAAAAACUGCACUUAGUUUUUAAUUACAGCACACAUUGACGCCAGAAAACAAAUAGUUCAUCUGCCAGGUGUUCAUUUUCAUUGUUUUUUGUUUCAUUUAAUGGGAUAAAAGUCUGAUUUUGACACUU